AACGAACGCUGGCGGCAUGCCUAACACAUGCAAGUCGAACGAGACCUUCGGGUCUAGUGGCGCACGGGUGCGUAACGCGUGGGAAUCUGCCCUUAGGUUCGGAAUAACAGUUAGAAAUGACUGCUAAUACCGGAUGAUGACUUCGGUCCAAAGAUUUAUCGCCUAAGGAUGAGCCCGCGUAGGAUUAGCUAGUUGGUGAGGUAAAGGACUCACCAAGGCUACGAUCCUUAGCUGGUCUGAGAGGAUGAUCAGCCACACUGGGACUGAGACACGGCCCAGACUCCUACGGGAGGCAGCAGUGGGGAAUAUUGGACAAUGGGCGAAAGCCUGAUCCAGCAAUGCCGCGUGAGUGAUGAAGGCCUUAGGGUUGUAAAGCUCUUUUACCCGGGAUGAUAAUGACAGUACCGGGAGAAUAAGCUCCGGCUAACUCCGUGCCAGCA
rnacentral:rRNA from 1 species